UACGGGGGGGGCGAGGCGUUGUUCGGAAUUACUGGGCGUAAAGGGCUCGUAGGCGGCCAACUAAGUCAGCACGUGAAAUCCCUCGGCUUAACCGGGGAACGUGCGUCUGAUACUGGAUGGCUUGAGAUUGGGAGAGGGAUGCGGAAUUCCAGGUGUAGCGGUGAAAUGCGUAGAUAUCUGGAGGAACACCGGUGGCGAAGGCGGCAUCCUGGACCAACACUGACGCUGAGGGAGCGAAAGCCAGGGGAGCAAACGGGG
rnacentral:rRNA from 1 species